rnacentral:ncRNA from 3 species
UUGUGAAGCAGAAUUCACCAAG